UAGGAAGCCGGAAACGACUACCGAGAGCCAUCUCGCUGCCGGCUCCGUCACCGCCACCACCAUGACCAUGUUCCGGAAGCUCGGCCGCCCCGCGGCCCACCGCGUCUCUAUGCUCAGGACGAUGGUCUCUCAGUUGGUGAAGCAUGAACGCAUCGAAACCACCGUCGCAAAGGCAAAAGAAGUUCGUCGUGUUGCAGACAACAUGGUGCAGCUGGGCAAAGAGGUUAUCAAAAUACUUUCUUUAAUGCUUUAAUAAUUAUUUUCACCCAUUAAAUUCUGCCAAGUUUGCAUUGCUAAUAUUAUCAGACACCAAAAAUACUUCGGAGGUUAGUGGUUGACAAGCCAAAUGUCUACUACAUUGUAACACUAAUAAUAUAUUCUAGCACUAAAAUUCUGCCGUGCUUGCAAUAAUGUAUCAGAAAGCAUAGCAAUGAGGACUGGAAUUCACUUACGUUACUGUUUGAUAGUGCAAUUGAUUUGGACAAAAUUUAUUUGCUUGAUACUUUAUCUUCAUUUGUUCUUGAGUGACUGACGUGUGUUUGAGUAAUUGUUCAGGCAAGCUUAUUACCCAUAUCUGGGAUGCAUGAAAACUUGUGAUAGCAUAUUGAGGGAUUCCUUGGGGUCCGAGACAUGUAAUAAGCACGGGAAUGAUGGAAAUAUUGGAUAAAAUGUCAUAUGCUGGAAGAGUAGAUUUCCUACAGUCUAUGGGAAUACCUCCAGAUAUCUGCUGCCAUAUGUGUGCAUGCAGGAUAUUAAGUGAACUGCCACUGUGUCAACCUUGUGCAUAGACUAGUUAUAGUUAAAUGACAAAUCACUGGGCAAUUGACAUGGAAAGUAAACCUGCAAGCCUCCUCCUAUGAACCACCUUAGUUUUUUUCUUUUUUCUUUUUGUUUUUUGAGCAACCCACGA